rnacentral:rRNA from 1 species
AGGGAAUCUUCCGCAAUGGACGAAAGUCUGACGGAGCAACGCCGCGUGAGUGAUGAAGGUUUUCGGAUCGUAAAGCUCUGUUGCCAGGGAAGAACGUCUUCUGGAGUAACUGCCAGGAGAGUGACGGUACCUGAGAAGAAAGCCCCGGCUAACUACGUGCCAGCAGCCGCGGUAAUACGUAGGGGGCAAGCGUUGUCCGGAAUUAUUGGGCGUAAAGCGCGCGCAGGCGGCUGUUUAAGUCUGGUGUAUAAUCCGGGGGCUCAACUCCGGGUCGCACUGGAAACUGGGAGGCUUGAGUGCAGAAGAGGAGAGUGGAAUUCCACGUGUAGCGGUGAAAUGCGUAGAGAUGUGGAGGAACACCAGUGGCGAAGGCGGCUCUCUGGUCUGUAACUGACGCUGAGGCAUGAAAGCGUGGGGAGCAAAC